rnacentral:lncRNA from 1 species
UAAGGCCAGUUUCCCCCAAUACUGGGUACAUUACCCCCCCUGUUGGAAAGGCCAGUUUCCCCAAUACUGGGUACAUUAUCCCUCCUGUUGGUAAGGCCAGUUUCCCCCAAUACUGGGUACAUUACCCCCGUUGCUAAGGCCAGUUUCCCCCAAUACUGGGUACAUCACCGCCGUUGCUAAGGCCAGUUUCCCCCAAUACUGGGUACAUUAUCCCCCCUGUUGGUAAGGCCAAUUUCCCCCAAUACUGGGUACAUUAUCCCCCCUGUUGCUAAGGCCAGUUUCCCCCAAUACUGGGUACAUUAUCCCCUGUUGCUAAGGCCAGUUUCCCCCAAUACUGGGUACAUUAUCCCCCCUGUUGCUAAGGCCAGUUUACCCCAAUACUGGGUACAUUACCCCCGUUGCUAAGGCCAGUUCCCCCAAUACUGGGUACAUCACCCCCGUUGCUAAGGCAAGUUUCCCCCAAUACUGGGUACAUUAUCCCCCCUGUUGGUAAGGCCAAUUUCCCCCAAUACUGGGUAAAUUAUCCCCCCUGUUGCUAAGGCCAGUUUCCCCCAAUACUGGGUACAUUAUCCCCUGUUGCUAAGGCCAGUUUCCCCCAAUACUGGGUACAUUAUCCCCCCUGUUGCUAAGGCCAGUUCCUCCAUAUACUAGGUAAAUACCCUCCCUGUUGCUAAGGCCAGUUUCCCCCAAUACUGGGUACAUUACGCCAGUUGCUAAGGCCAGUUUCCCCCAAUACUGGGUACAUUACUCCCUGUUGCUAAGGCCAAUUUCCCCCAAUACUGGGUACAUUAUCCCCCCUUUUGCUAAGGCCAGUUUCCCCCAAUACUGGGUACCUUACUCCCUGUUGCUAAGGCCAGUUUCCCCCAAUACUGGGUACAUUACCCCCGUUGCUAAGGCCAGUUUCCCCCAAUACUGGGUACAUUAUCCCCCCUGUUGCUAAGGCCAGUUUCCCCCAAUAGUGGGUACAUUACCCCCUGUUGCUAAGGCCAGUUUCCCCCAAUACUCCAAUACUGGGUACAUUACCCCAGUUGCUAAGGCCAGUUUCCCCCAAUACUGGGUACAUUAUCCCCCCUGUUGCUAAGGCCAGUUUCCCCCAAUACUGGGUUCAUUACCCCCUGUUGGUAAGGCCAGUUUCCCCCAAUACUGGGUACAUUACCCCCGUUGCUAAGGCCAGUUUCCCCCAAUACUGGGUACAUUAUCUCCCCUGUUGGUAAGGCCAGUUUCCCCCAAUACUGGGUACAUUAUCCCCCCUGUUGCUAAGGCCAGUUUCCCCCAAUACUGGGUACAUAAUCCCCUGUUGCUAAGGCCAGUUUCCCCCAAUACUGGGUACAUUAUCCCCCCUGUUGCUAAGGCCAGUUUCCCCCAAUACUGGGUACAUUAUCCCCUGUUGCUAAGGCCAGUUUCCCCCAAUACUGGGUACAUUAUCCCCCCUGUUGCUAAGGCCAGUUCCUCCAUAUACUAGGUAAAUACCCUCCCUGUUGCUAAGGCCAGUUUCCCCCAAUACUGGGUACAUUACGCCAGUUGCUAAGGCCAGUUUCCCCCAAUACUGGGUAC